rnacentral:rRNA from 1 species
UAUGUGAUCGUCUCUCGCAUAUCAAUAAGCGGAGGAAAAGAAACUAACAAGGAUUCCCCUAGUAACGGCGAGUGAAGCGGGAAGAGCUCAAAUUUGAAAUCUUAAAGGGUUUCCCUUUACGAAUUGUAGUUUAAAGAAGUGUUUUCUGUUGAGGUUUUGGUAAAAGUUCUUUGGAGUAGGACAUCAUAGAGGGUGAGAAUCCCGUAUUUGACCUUUACUUUCAACUUUGUGAUACACUUUCAAAGAGUCGGAUUGUUUGGGAAUGCAGUCCAAAAUGGGUGGUAAAUUUCAUCUAAAGCUAAAUAUUGGCGAGAGACCGAUAGCGAACAAGUACCGUGAGGGAAAGAUGAAAAGAACUUUGAAAAGAGAGUUAAACAGUACGUGAAAUUGUCAAAAGGGAAGCGUUUGACACCAGUGUUGUUUUUCUGAAAAUCAAUUAAAGAACUGUUUAUGCUAAGCUUGUUUAGACUUUAUCAGCUAUCUGUUUAGUUUUGAGCUUUUCUUUAAUGCACUUUUCAGUUAACAAGUCAACAUCAAUUUCUUUUGCUGUAAGAAAGCUUGAGGAAGGUGGCUUGAGAUUCGUCUUAAGUGUUUAUAGCCUCUUGCCUAUGCAGUCGGAGAGAUUGAGGUCUGCAGCGUAGAUCCUUCGGGGCUAAAUGCAUUUGUGCUAAGUUAUAGCAUUUUAUAGACAACUUGUUGACUAUGAUUUGUCUUGUAGCUUACUCGCUUAUGUUAUUUUACCUACGCUUAGGAUGUUGAUAUCGCGCUCUCACUG